rnacentral:rRNA from 1 species
AAACUAACAAGGAUUCCCCUAGUAACGGCGAGUGAAGCGGGAAGAGCUCAAAUUUGUAUCUGGCACUUUCAGUGUCCGAGUUGUAAUCUCGAGAAGUAUUUUCCGCGCCGGACCGCAUACAAGUCUGUUGGAAUACAGCGUCAUAGUGGUGAGAACCCCGUAACUGAUGCGGAUGCCCCGGUGCUUUGUGAAUAUACUUUCGAAGAGUCGAGUUGUUUGGGAAUGCAGCUCAAAUUGGGUGGUAAAUUCCAUCUAAAGGCUAAAUAUUGGAGCAAGACCGAUAGCGAACAAGUACCGUGAGGGAAAGAUGAAAAGCACUUUGGAAAGAGAGUUAACAGUACGUGAAAUUGUUGGAAGGGAAACGCUUGAAGUCAGACUUGCUAUUCGGAGUUCAGCCGCAAGGUGUAUUCUUCGAUUUGCAGGCCAGCAUCAGUUUUUGGGGGUGGAAAAUCGUGGUUUGAAGGUAGCAGUUUCGGCUGUGUUAUAGCUUUCCACUGGAUUCAUCUUCGGGGACUGAGGAACGCAGUACGCUUUUUGCAAGGCUCUCGAGCUUUUCGUACUUAGGAUGCUGGUGGAAUGGCUUUAAACGAC